rnacentral:rRNA from 1 species
UACGUAGGGCGCAAGCGUUAUCCGGAAUUACUGGGCGUAAAGAGCUCGUAGGUGGUUUGUCGCGUUGUUCGUGAAAUCUCACGGCUUAACUGUGAGCGUGCGGGCGAUACGGGCAGACUGGAGUACUGCAGGGGAGACUGGAAUUCCUGGUGUAGCGGUGGAAUGCGCAGAUAUCAGGAGGAACACCGGUGGCGAAGGCGGGUCUCUGGGCAGUAACUGACGCUGAGGAGCGAAAGCGUGGGGAGCAAACAGG